rnacentral:tRNA from 1 species
GCUCCCGUACCCCAGCAGGUAGAGGGACGGGCACUGUGAAAUAGAAUGGAAGCUCCAUUGUCAGUCGGUGCCUAUGAUGUCGCUGGUUCGAAUCCAGCCGGGAGCA